UUAAGCGACUAAGCGUACACGGUGGAUGCCCUGGCAGUCAGAGGCGAUGAAGGACGUGCUAAUCUGCGAAAAGCGUCGGUAAGGUGAUAUGAACCGUUAUAGCCGGCGAUGUCCGAAUGGGGAAACCCAGUGCAAUUCGUUGCACUAUCGUUAACUGAAUACAUAGGUUAACGAGGCGAACCGGGGGAACUGAAACAUCUAAGUACCCCGAGGAAAAGAAAUCAACCGAGAUUCCCCCAGUAGCGGCGAGCGAACGGGGAGCAGCCCAGAGUCUGAAUCAGCUUGUGUGUUAGUGGAACGGUCUGGAAAGUCCGACGGUACAGGGUGAUAGUCCCGUACACCAAAAUGCACAGGUUGUGAACUCGAAGAGUAGGGCGGGACACGUGGUAUCCUGUCUGAAUAUGGGGGGACCAUCCUCCAAGGCUAAAUACUCCUGACUGACCGAUAGUGAACCAGUACCGUGAGGGAAAGGCGAAAAGAACCCCGGCGAGGGGAGUGAAAAAGAACCUGAAACCGUGUACGUACAAGCAGUGGGAGCACCUUCGGGUGUGACUGCGUACCUUUUGUAUAAUGGGUCAGCGACUUAUAUUCUGUAGCAAGGUUAACCGUAUAGGGGAGCCGCAGGGAAACCGAGUCUUAACUGGGCGUUAAGUUGCAGGGUAUAGACCCGAAACCCGGUGAUCUAGCCAUGGGCAGGUUGAAGGUUGGGUAACACUAACUGGAGGACCGAACCGACUAAUGUUGAAAAAUUAGCGGAUGACUUGUGGCUGGGGGUGAAAGGCCAAUCAAACCGGGAGAUAGCUGGUUCUCCCCGAAAGCUAUUUAGGUAGCGCCUCGUGAACUCAUCUUCGGGGGUAGAGCACUGUUUCGGCUAGGGGGUCAUCCCGACUUACCAACCCGAUGCAAACUACGAAUACCGAAGAAUGUUAUCACGGGAGACACACGGCGGGUGCUAACGUCCGUCGUGAAGAGGGAAACAACCCAGACCGCCAGCUAAGGUCCCAAAGUCAUGGUUAAGUGGGAAACGAUGUGGGAAGGCACAGACAGCCAGGAUGUUGGCUUAGAAGCAGCCAUCAUUUAAAGAAAGCGUAAUAGCUCACUGGUCGAGUCGGCCUGCGCGGAAGAUGUAACGGGGCUAAACCAUGCACCGAAGCUGCGGCAGCGACACUAUGUGUUGUUGGGUAGGGGAGCGUUCUGUAAGCCUGCGAAGGUGACCUGUGAGGGUUGCUGGAGGUAUCAGAAGUGCGAAUGCUGACAUAAGUAACGAUAAAGCGGGUGAAAAGCCCGCUCGCCGGAAGACCAAGGGUUCCUGUCCAACGUUAAUCGGGGCAGGGUGAGUCGACCCCUAAGGCGAGGCCGAAAGGCGUAGUCGAUGGGAAACAGGUUAAUAUUCCUGUACUUGGUGUUACUGCGAAGGGGGGACGGAGAAGGCUAUGUUAGCCGGGCGACGGUUGUCCCGGUUUAAGCAUGUAGGCUGGUUAUCCAGGCAAAUCCGGAUAAUCAAGGCUGAGGUGUGAUGACGAGGCACUACGGUGCUGAAGUAACAAAUGCCCUGCUUCCAGGAAAAGCCUCUAAGCAUCAGGUAACAUCAAAUCGUACCCCAAACCGACACAGGUGGUCAGGUAGAGAAUACCAAGGCGCUUGAGAGAACUCGGGUGAAGGAACUAGGCAAAAUGGUGCCGUAACUUCGGGAGAAGGCACGCUGGUGUGUAGGUGAAGUCCCUGCGGAUGGAGCUGAGACCAGUCGAAGAUACCAGCUGGCUGCAACUGUUUAUUAAAAACACAGCACUGUGCAAACACGAAAGUGGACGUAUACGGUGUGACGCCUGCCCGGUGCCGGAAGGUUAAUUGAUGGGGUUAUCCGUAAGGAGAAGCUCUUGAUCGAAGCCCCGGUAAACGGCGGCCGUAACUAUAACGGUCCUAAGGUAGCGAAAUUCCUUGUCGGGUAAGUUCCGACCUGCACGAAUGGCGUAAUGAUGGCCAGGCUGUCUCCACCCGAGACUCAGUGAAAUUGAACUCGCUGUGAAGAUGCAGUGUACCCGCGGCAAGACGGAAAGACCCCGUGAACCUUUACUAUAGCUUGACACUGAACAUUGAGCCUUGAUGUGUAGGAUAGGUGGGAGGCUUUGAAGCGUGGACGCCAGUCUGCGUGGAGCCAACCUUGAAAUACCACCCUUUAAUGUUUGAUGUUCUAACGUUGGCCCCUUACCGGGGUUGCGGACAGUGUCUGGUGGGUAGUUUGACUGGGGCGGUCUCCUCCCAAAGCGUAACGGAGGAGCACGAAGGUUAGCUAAUCCUGGUCGGACAUCAGGAGGUUAGUGCAAUGGCAUAAGCUAGCUUGACUGCGAGCGUGACGGCGCGAGCAGGUGCGAAAGCAGGUCAUAGUGAUCCGGUGGUUCUGAAUGGAAGGGCCAUCGCUCAACGGAUAAAAGGUACUCCGGGGAUAACAGGCUGAUACCGCCCAAGAGUUCAUAUCGACGGCGGUGUUUGGCACCUCGAUGUCGGCUCAUCACAUCCUGGGGCUGAAGUAGGUCCCAAGGGUAUGGCUGUUCGCCAUUUAAAGUGGUACGCGAGCUGGGUUUAGAACGUCGUGAGACAGUUCGGUCCCUAUCUGCCGUGGGCGCUGGAGAAUUGAGGGGGGCUGCUCCUAGUACGAGAGGACCGGAGUGGACGCAUCACUGGUGUUCGGGUUGUCAUGCCAAUGGCACUGCCCGGUAGCUAAAUGCGGAAGAGAUAAGUGCUGAAAGCAUCUAAGCACGAAACUUGCCCCGAGAUGAGUUCUCCCUGAGACUUUAAGUCUCCUGAAGGAACGUUGAAGACGACGACGUUGAUAGGCCGGGUGUGUAAGCGCAGCGAUGCGUUGAGCUAACCGGUACUAAUGAACCGUGAGGCUUAACCUU
rnacentral:rRNA from 1 species